rnacentral:lncRNA from 1 species
GUGGCUGAAUCAAAGCCCCUUGUUAUUCAAGCAGAUGUCCUGCAGAGGGAGCUCGAAAGCUGUUUAAGGAAAGAGUACACAGUUGAAAACUUACCUUUGCUUCUGCACCAGUUUUAUACAGAGAGAAUUACCCAGUUGGUCCAGAGCAAAUACUUACACAUGCUUAGGUGGAAGAGAUUCUGCCAGCAUAGCAGCAUUAUGGAACAAAUUUAUCCUCUUUACCAGGAGCAGGUUGGGCACAUUAUGCAGGAAUACAAUGAUGCUGUUCAGAGAGCUGAGAGGUUGGCUGUUGCUCAAGAAAACUUAUUCAUGGGAAAAAACAAUCCUGGACACUUGGUAACACAGGAAGAUCUGAUGAUCUACACCAGGUGGCUAGUUUGUCAUUUAUAUUCUCUUAGAGACAUUCACAACUACCUGAGGGUGCUACAAUACUUGCCCAUAUCUGACAGAUUGGAAAUUGCUAUACAGGACGUGGAUCAAGAAAAUGGAGAUAUGUGUACUGGACAUAUAGACCCUGAGUCUUCAUCUACUAACAACCAGAAUUCUGGUUGUCAAGCUUCUUCAGUAACAAGCACUUCAGGGUUAUUCAGAAAAGAAGUUACUUCUAUUCUGCCCCACAAUAAAACAGAAGCAGUAGAACUGAAGCCUCAGCUAGAACUUCUUUUGUCUCAUUUCAACAUCUGCUACAACACAGAGGAUCUAAAGAAUUCUGCUGAUGAGAUGGAGCUCUUUUCCCUGGUUGUUCAGAAGUUUCAGAACAUCUUCCAUGAACAACAGAGAUUGAAAAUAUUUCCAGCCUAUGAUGUCAAGGUGGCUAAAGUUGAUAUCCAGGAUUUAUUAAAACCUAGCAUGACUUUCAAAAAGACAGCCAACUGGAUUCCUUUCAUAAAGGUUUCCAACCCGCUGCGAGUGAUGGAGGCUCUGCAGGCUCAUGCGGCAGCAGUCCUGGAGCCAGCUUCAGCCCUUCUUUCCUGUGUAAAGCCCCAGGGUUCGGACCAGGACACUUGUGAUGGAAUCUGGGAGGAAAUUUACGGCAGCAUCAGCCUUCACCAGGAAGAAGAUACUGAGGAGGGGGAUCUUUCUAUGGAAGGCAAAGAUACUGAUGGACCCCAAAUCAGUCCCAGCCAGUAUGCUGGGGGAUCUUCAAAGAAGAACAAACAAACAGGGUACAGUUACCUUGGGGCCCUUCAACUCCUGGGAUUUGAUGAAGAUGAUGAGAGUGAUGAUAAAAAUCCCAUCAUGAUGAAAGGAGCUUAUCUAUCCUUUCUUUAUCUUCGGCAUCUAAGAAUCAGAGAGCUUCAGCGUGUCUGCUUAGGAAUUUUGAAUUAUUUCAGAUCUGUUGAGCGAACCCUAACAAUCCAUACCUCAGGCCUUACAUCAAAUGCAGGGAAUUUUGUUUCCAGUGUUGAAGAUGCCUCUUGGGUAAAUACUGCAAGAACAGGAGGUUCUGGUACUGUUCCAGGCCUGGGAUCUCACCACUAUGUGCAUUAUACACCAGCAGACUACAAGGUCCAGAGCACCCAGUUCAUGGAAUUCUCAGAAGUGGAGAAUCAGGAUGACUUCUACACUCUGGGAGAUGGAUACAUCCAUGUUCAGGACCAGCAGGGAGCUUAUGUGAUGUAUGACUGUGCCUUAUGUGAUCUGGAGGAACUGGAGAGCCAGCUACUGCUCAUAGUGAGCCAUUACAUCGAGAAAGAAAAAAGUCACAAAAGGGGUAAUGAAUCCAGGAGCAGCAGUCUCCCAGAAUGGGCCCAUGCAAGUGUGGAUCGAUUUGCAAUGCUGUUUGACAUAUGGACUUGGGAGGCUACUUUUCUAGAAAACAAACGCCAGCUUCUUGACAGUUACUUUGAAGCUUAUCAACAUGUCUUUGAUCAGGAAGAGAGAACUGCCUUGGCCCAGGUGAUAACAGACAUCAUGCACCACCGCCCCCGUUUUGAUUUUAGCCACCCUUAUUUGGAGAAAACCUACAGGGCUGAAUGCAUCAGCCUGAGGCUUCAUCUACAGCUGGUGAAGGACAUAGUCAACAGACAUAUAGAAUCACAACGGAAAUAUGUCCAAAGAAUAUGGCGAGAUGGUCAGAAAGGUAGCAUCAAUGAAUUUGGACUUCCUCCAAACAUAAUUUGUAAACACCUUAUCUCUAUUAACAGUAGCUGGUGA